AGCACAGCAGGUCAGGAUGCUGAAUAUUUAGGAGGUGCAGGAACUGUCCAGGCAAAUAAGCAGCCACAUAAUAGUCAAGAUUCAAAAAGGCCACUUCCUUCAAUUGAGGAGUUUCUGGUCUUUCUAGAGAAGCUGUAAAAGUUUUGCUAAACCCUUUAUGUAAAAAAUAUAUGGAGUAUGAUAUUUCCCCAGGAAUAUCCGAAGGAAGACUACAACACACACACAGUCCUCCUGCUUUAUUUGUAAAAACCUGAAGAUUCAAAGACUUGGGUGGAACAUCUCGGUCUUCACAGUCAUUGUAUCCAAAAUUCACAAGUUUUACUCGUUUGUCAUUUACAGAAAUAUCCAGCUGUGAUUCCAGUGUUGAGUUAAAAUUUUCAUCAGGGUAGAACUGGACACAUCUUAAAAUACUCCUUGAUUCCUUUGGAACAAUGUAGAAGAGUCUUUGUUCUGUCAUAUCCCACUGUGCCCAAAUGAGAU
rnacentral:lncRNA from 1 species